UCGGGAAUUUUGGGCAAUGGGCGAAAGCCUGACCCAGCAACGCCGCGUGAAGGAUGAAGUAUUUCGGUAUGUAAACUUCGUAAGAAUAGGAAGAAUAAAUGACGGUACUAUUUGUAAGGUCCGGCUAACUACGUGCCAGCAGCCGCGGUAAUACGUAGGGACCAAGCGUUGUUCGGAUUUACUGGGCGUAAAGGGCGCGUAGGCGGUGUGUCAAGUCAGUUGUGAAAUCUCCGAGCUUAACUCGGAACGGUCAACUGAUACUGUCACACUAGAGUACAGAAGGGGCAAUCGGAAUUCUUGGUGUAGCGGUGAAAUGCGUAGAUAUCAAGAGGAACACCUGAGGCGAAGGCGGGUUGCUGGGCUGAUACUGACGCUGAGGCGCGAAAGCUAGGGUAGCAAACAGGAUUAGAUACCCAAGUAGUCCCUGAGCGGGCUGGCAAGGCGCAU
rnacentral:rRNA from 1 species